AAUGCAUGUCAGUCCCUCAUUCGGCCUGCUUAGCUGAUUUUUCAUACAAUAUUGCUAGCUGCCUUGUGAAGGGCUUACGUGUGAU
rnacentral:pre_miRNA from 1 species